rnacentral:tRNA from 1 species
GAAGGUCCAGUGGCUAAGACUCUGCGUUCCUAACGCAGAAGGUCUGGGUUCAAUCCCUGGUC